UUAAGUCAGUAAAGAAGAAUGUCCCAUCAAAUCUGAUGAAGCAAAAAUAUGACUUACAUGGAUAUCCGUUGGCACUGCACUUGUGGAUUCUAGAGCCUGUUCCUAUGUUAAAGAAAUCUUUCAGCACAUUGAGUGUAAUUGAGUGACCAUCAGCAUAUCUCUGUGAAAAAUACACACGUACAGUUAAUCCAUCGAUUGCUCAAGUGGAGAACAUUGAAGCAUCAAACCAUCUCAAGGUUAUUCACAUAUUACCAUCGAUACCCGAUGAUACAGAAGAUACAGUCUUCUUGGAAGACACUCCUGAUCAAGAUUUGAGUAUGUUAACAGAUGUACUGAACAAGGGAUACAAAUUGACACUUGAAGACUGGAGAAAAAGAGCAUUAGAUGUUGGUGCAGUGAUGGAAGAUAUUGCUAGGAAUUCUUACCAGUUACGUAACAAGGAGACACUAAAGCCAUCCUCUUCUGGAGAGUCACUAAUGGAGAAGCUAGAUAAACUUUACAACAUGGUUACGGAUGGGUUCAGAGAUAUCAAUUGCCGGUUAUC